GGUGGGGGAGGGAGAUCUUCCUGGUAGGAAGAUUGCCUCACGGAUCUUGUAGAGUUAUUUUGAGCUCUGAUUUUUAUCAUGAUUGUUCGUAUGGCCCCCUUUCUGGAUGUCAAUCUAUUGUGGUCAAUCUCCUGUUGCAUCCAUCAUCAGUGUAGAGCACCAGCAAAAUGAAAUCCACACUGAUCAAAAUUGUAUUCGACGGAGAUCUUCCGAUGCUUAAGUCAGU
rnacentral:lncRNA from 1 species